CUGCUAUGAGUUCAGGUCUGCAUACACUAAUUUAGUUCUUAUUUAUUUUACCGAUGCAUAUCUAGGGCUGCUCCAACACCUGCUGGAAGGCACCUGAAGCCCCGAGUGUAACUGGGGCACUGAGGGAGAUCCUGAAAUAAACCCCGCAAGGAGAACUGGACCCCUCAGAUGAGGACCACGCAGUAAAGCACUGAGUAUACUUCAAUGACUAAUAUUCACGCGAGCACAGGAUAAUUUUUCUGAGUCACAGAAUGUCAAAAGGUGAGCAAAUUUUCUAACACGAAGACAUCAUCAGAAAGGGAACACAGAGAAGAAGAAGAACUGCUGCCAUUUUCUUGAGUAGUUGCUGAGGACCGAACACAAUGCUGGAUGCUAUGUACGAACGAAAGGGGUAGCGGCCACUGAGUCCUCUACCUGGGAGACGAGGGACAUUGGAAGAAAGGCAAACCUAUGAGGCAGUAUGGUGGGCUGAUAAUGCGCCCAAAGACAUGUCCCCCUGCUCACCCCUGGGACCUGUGAAUGUUACUGUCCAUGGUAAGUAGAUGUGACUUAAUUAGCUCCUGAGACGCAGAUGUGAUUUAGUUAGCUCCUGAGAUGAACAGAUCACCUUGGAUCAUCCAAUGCUGUUGCAAACAUCCUGACAACGGAGGCCCAGAGAGAUUACGCCCACAGAGAAGAAGACCAUCUGGAGGUAGAGCAGAGACUGGACUGAGAUGGCCACAAGCCUCACAGAUGCUGCAGCCACCAGAAACUGGGAGAGGCUGAAUUCUCCCCUAGAGCUCUCGGGGGGCGGACAGCCUUGCUGACAUCUUGAUUUCAGACUUCCAGCCUCCAGAACUGGGAGAGAAUAAAUUUCUGUUGUCUUCUGCCACCCAAUUCCUGGUAACGUGGAACAGCAGCCCUAGGAAACUAAUACAAUGCUUUCUGUUUCAAGCUGCUUGAUUUGGGGGUCAUUUGUUACGUGGCAAUAGAUAACCAACUCGGUGAGACAAAUGUGUCAAGUGCUUAGAAAAGUACUCGGCAAAUGGUACCUGCCGUUAUGGGUAUCCUGAAGGAACUCAGAAUCCAGUUUGAGAUAAGAAAUAUAUAUCUCUGUCAGACACCAAGAAGGCAAGUAUAACUCGAGAGGAAAAAUGAAAACUCUGCUAAUAUGAAUGACUGGGGAAUAUCGGAAUAGAGAGGCAUUGGUCUGGGGAGUCUUCUUAGAGGUAGGAGGUGUCACUGGAGCAGAAGGGACACAUCCUAGUAUACUAGAAAGGGAACGAUCAGA